GGUGGUGUGGCUCAGUGGUAAAGCGCUUGCCUAGCCUGUGUGAGUCACUGGGUUUGAUUCUCUCAGCACUG
rnacentral:tRNA from 1 species